GGGGAUUAGCUCAGUUGGUAGAGCGCGUGCUUAGCAUGCACGAGGUCGGGGAUUCGAUUUCCCCAUUCUCC
rnacentral:tRNA from 1 species